rnacentral:rRNA from 1 species
CUACCCGGGUAUCUAAUCCUGUUUGCUCCCCACGCUUUCGAACCUGAGCGUCAGUACCGAGCCAGGUGGCCGCCUUCGCCACUGGUGUUCUUCCUAAUAUCUACGAAUUUCACCUCUACACUAGGAAUUCCGCCACCCUCUCUCGGACUCAAGCAUUCCCGUUUCAAAGGCAAUUCUGGAGUUGAGCCCCAGGCUUUCACCUCUGACAUGGAACACCGCCUACGUUCGCUUUACGCCCAGUAAUUCCGAACAACGCUAGCCCCCUUCGUAUUACCGCGGCUGCUGGCAC